GCCCUGGUGGUCUAGUGGUAUGAUUCACGCUUAGGGUCAUUGUGUGAGGUCCCGCGUUCAAUUCGCGGCUAGGGCC